rnacentral:rRNA from 1 species
GACAGAGGGUGCAAACGUUGUUCGGAAUUACUGGGCGUAAAGCGCGUGUAGGCGGCUCUGCAAGUCAGGUGUGAAAUCCCACGGCUCAACCAUGGAAGUGCACUUGAAACUGCAGGGCUAGAGUCCUGGAGAGGAAGGUGGAAUGCUUGGUGUAGAGGUGAAAUUCGUAGAUAUCAAGCGGAACACCGGUGGCGAAGGCGGCCUUCUGGACAGUGACGUGACGCUGAGA